rnacentral:piRNA from 1 species
UAGAGUCCAAGAGAAUCCUGGUGAUCAGAGU